rnacentral:lncRNA from 1 species
GACCCGUCAGAUGAAAGGGAGAACAGGGAAAGGAGCCUGCAACGUGUGAACAGAGGAUGACACGAUCCAGACAUAUGAGAGAGAUUUUUCUGUGGAAUAACCCACGCCCAAAGUCUUAACGAGAAGAUGAACUGAAUUCAAACAAGGCCCAGUCACUCCCACAUCACUAAAGCACAAGCUGGAGAAACCCCCACAAAACCAAAGUGUCAUAAUACCAGAAUAUUUUUAAUAUAUUUUUUAAAGUUUUUCUUCUUUAUUUUGAGAGAGAGAGAGAGAGAGAGAGAGAGAGAGAGAGAGAGCACAUGCUGG